CUUCUCUGUUCGCUCCGAGUCCUUUUAUUGUUCAUAUUAAACUGUGUGUGUGUGUGUGUGUGUGUGUGUGUGUGUGUGUGUGUGUGUGUGUGUGUGCGUGUGUGUGUGUGUGUGUAUGU